rnacentral:tRNA from 1 species
AUUAACUUGGCAGACAAGUGCAUUGGAUUUAGAAUUCAAAUAUAUUUAUAUUAUAAUUAGUU